GGAGGGGUGCCUGAGAGGUCUAAAGGGAACACCUUAAAUCAAGGUGUUGAACAUUUUAUACUAAUGUUCCGUCGGUUCGAAUCCUACUCCCUCCGCCA
rnacentral:tRNA from 1 species